rnacentral:rRNA from 1 species
CAAUAGCGUAUAUUAAAGUUGUUGCAGUUAAAAAGCUCGUAGUUGAAUUUUUGCUUGCCGCCGAUGUCGGAACUUCCGUACGUUCGGCGGCGUGCAUCCUUGGGUGGAACCUGUGUGGCAUUAGGUUGUCGUGCAGGGGAUGCUCAUCGUUUACUGUGAAAAAAUUAGAGUGUUCAAAGCAGGCUUACGCCGUUGAAUAUAUUAGCAUGGAAUAAUAAGAUAGGACCUUGGUACUAUUUUGUUGGUUUGCGCACCGAGGUAAUGAUUAACAGGGACAGUUGGGGGUAUUCGUAUUCCAUUGUCAGAGGUGAAAUUCUUGGAUUUCUGGAAGACGAACUACUGCGAAAGCAAUUACCAAGGAUGUUUUCAUUAA